UGUCUUUUUGAAAUUAAUAUAAAGUCUAAUCUGCCCACUGAUUUUAUAUUAAAGGGCUGCAGUAUAUUGACUGUACAAAGGUAGCAUAAUCAUUAGUCAUUUAAUUGAUGACUUGUAUGAAAGAUUGGAUGAAAUAUGAACUGUCUCUUAGUUAAAUAUAGAAUUUAAUUUUUUAGUUAAAAAGUUAAAAUAAAUUAAAAAGACGAGAAGACCCUAUAGAGUUUUAUAAAUAAGUUAGUUAAGAUUAUUUAAUAAAGUUAAAAUUAAUUUAUUUAUUGUAUUGGGGUGAUAGAAAAAUAUAUUUAACUUUUUUUUUAUGUUAGUACAUUUAUAAGUGAUUAAAUGAUCCAAUAUUAUUGAUUAUAAGAAAAAAUUACCUUAGGGAUAACAGCGUAAUUUUUUUUUUUAGUUCACAUAAGAAAAAGAGUUUGCGACCUCGAUGUUGGAUUAAGAUAAAAUUUAAAUGCAGAAG
rnacentral:rRNA from 1 species